AUACGGAGGGAGCUAGCGUUGUUCGGAAUUACUGGGCGUAAAGGGCGCGUAGGCGGCUUGGAAAGUCAGAUGUGAAAGCCCGGGGCUCAACCCCGGAAGUGCAUUUGAAACUAUCAGGCUUGAGUAUGGGAGAGGGAAGUGGAAUUCCUGGUGUAGAGGUGAAAUUCGUAGAUAUCGGGAGGAAUACCGGUGGCGAAGGCGACUUUCUGGCUGAAUACUGACGCUGAGGCGCGAAAGCGUGGGGAGCAAACAGGAUUAGAAACCCCGGUAGUCC
rnacentral:rRNA from 1 species